rnacentral:lncRNA from 10 species
CCAAUGCUAUCCCUCCCCCCUCCCCCGACCCCACCACAGUCCCCAGAGUGUGAUAUUCCCCUUCCUGUGUCCAUGUGAUCUCAUUGUUCAAUUCCCACCUAUGAGUGAGAAUAUGCGGUGUUUGGUUUUUUGUGGCUGAACACGGUGACUCACACCUGUAAUCCCAGCACUUUGGGAGGCCAAGGUGGGUGGAUCACAAGGUUAGGAGUUCGAGACCAGCCUGGCCAAUAUGGUGAAACCCCGUCUCUACUAAAAACACAAAAUUAGCCAGGUGUGGUGGUGCAUGCCUGUAAUCCCAGCUACUUGGGAGGAUGAGGCAAGAGAAUCGCUUGAACCCAGGAGGCAGAUGUUGCAGUGAGCCGAGAUUGUGCCAUUGCCCUCCAGCCUGGGCAACAAGAGUGAAACUCCGUUUAAAAAAAAAAAAAUUAGCUGGGCGUGGUGGCACG